UGUAGCUGGUGAUGCUGUUUGUGUAGUCUUAGCAUCGGAAACAACUGAGUCUCAUCACUAUUUAGAGUACUCUGUUGAUCUGUUCUUGUAUGUUAACGUCCAACUCAUUCAGUUUCCCAUCCUUCCCCUGAGUUUUGAUAGCAAAUGUUUUUUUUAGUGUUCUUGUAUCUUUUGCUGUCAGGAAGUAGAUUGGCCCUUUUUUGAUGCUUCGACUAUGCCCUAUAAUAUAAUUGGAAGAGAGCAAGGGAGAAGAGAAGUGAAAGUCAAAGCACAAGAUCUUGUACAACUAAUGUUAAAUCUCCUUAAGGAACUAAAUGAGUUUGAAUAAUAGGUGCAGCAACCAGAUCUGAAUGGAAAUAUGCAUCUCGACGCUAAGUAUGGGCCCCGUGGAGCACAUUGAGGUAUGCCAAUCAUUUAGCACCACUAACCUUCUGUUGUGCCAAUGGAUAUGGUAGGCAUGAUUUUGUUCCCCACUAAAGGCCGACGAGAAGCACUCGCGGAGUCCUGACACAUAGGCCCAAGGUUUUCAGGAAUGAUUUUCACACUGGAUGGCCUGUGGAAUGGAGCAAGCUCUUGCUCCAUUGCCCGGCAUGCAGGCCCAUCGAGCACCGGCCACUAGAAAUUGUUUCACGGUAGGCCCUCCUCUGCUGGAUGGAAGUUUCUUUCAGCGCCGAAAAGGGUGAGCGCCUGGCCGUUGCGUUUGCAUGGCCAGUGCACACUCUCUGUCUGCACUGCAUAGUUGACUUGCGUGCCUUGUUAUUACAAUACUGAAAGGAAAUAAAGGCCCUAGCAAGAUGAGCGAGUUGCCGGGCAUUUCCCACUGAUUUUGAUUUCCUGACAAGGACAUUUUGGGUGAAGGGCGUAGAAAACACACCGCGCACUUCACACAUCUGCUUUUAAAUAAAUAUAUGAUUCACGUUCUCUA